CUAGUACUCCCUCUGUCCCGAAUUACUUGAUGAAUUACUUGAUGCUCAAACGGAUGUAUCAAGCACUAAAAUAGUGUUAGAUACAUCCGUUUGAGCGUCAAGUAAUUCUGGACAGACGGAGUAUUAC
rnacentral:pre_miRNA from 1 species